rnacentral:lncRNA from 1 species
AGUCCCAAAAGGGGCAUUAGAAAUCCUGGCGUUUUGCUGAUGUUCUGCUUCUUGAUGUAGAUGCUUAUACUGUAGAGCACAUCUCUUCAAGGAGAACUACAAACCACUGCUCAACGAAAUAAAAGAGGACACAAACAAAUGGAAGAACAUUUCAUGCUCAUGGACAGAAAGAAUCAAUAUCGUGAAAAUGGCCAUACUACCCUAGGUAAUUUAUAGAUUCAAUGCCAUCCCCAUCAAGCUACCAAUGACUUUCUUCACAGAAUAGGAAAAAACUACUUUAAAGUUCAUAUGGAAUCAAAAAAGAGCCCGCAUUGCCAAGAUAAUCCUAAGCCAAAAGAACAAAGCUGGAGGCAUCAUGCUACCUGACCUCGAACUAUACUACAAGGCUACAGUAACCAAAACAGCAUGGUACUGGUACCAAAACAGAGAUAUAGACCAAUGGAACUCAACAGAGCCCUCAGAAGUAAUACCACACAUCUACAACCAUCUCAUCUUUGACAAACCUGACAAAAACAAGAAAUGGGGAAAGGAUUCCCUAUUUAAUAAAUGGUGCUGGGAAAACUGGCUAGCCAUACGUAGAAAUCUAAAAUUGGAUGCCUUGCUUACACCUUAUACAAAAAUUAAUUCAAGAUGGCUUAAAGACUUAAAUGUUAGACCUAAAACCAUAAAAACCCUAGAAGAAAACCUAG